ensembl:lncRNA
UAGCUCUGUCUGCUGCUGCUCGGACAAGUGGGGGGCACUGGAUCAAUUUCUGGAGCCAGGCAGACUUGCCAACAACAAUUUUCUUUUUCCCAGAGGGCCUCGGAGGCCGGCAGCAGGUUCCAAGCCCUUCCUCUCCUGCCCGCUCGGCGUGGGCUCCUUGACAGCGAGUUUGAAAAGGGUUACAGAGAGGCAGAUAAAUGCCCGGCUUGUUGCAGCCUUCCUGACAGCGCCGACCCCCGCGCCAGUGAGCUCAUGCCCGCCUCAUUACGCGUGGUGCCAGAUUUUUUCCAUUAACAGGAACAGAUGUGUGAGCCCUGAGGUCUCCAGUCUUCCUGUUUCCCAUCUUGCUGGGCUCCUAUCUCAGCUGGUCUGUUUUCAGCUUCAUGAAGAAGAUUCCUCAUCACUGCCCAGCCCCAAGUUCUCCGUUAGGGUUGGAGCUUCGGAUGAGAUGUGUGUGUGUGUUUGGUACUUGAAAUACAGAGAAAGAGACCGUCAAGUGGAAUUAAGACACUGAGCCUGUUUCCGGGAAGCCCAGUGAGAUGGAAAUGCUUGGGCCAGCGACGGACACGUGGAGUCUGUUCCAUGAACACGGGUUGUCAUUACUGCUCCUGUUGCCCUGUGCUGUCUGGGGCAGGAGAGAGAAGGACCCUGACCAAGGGCAGUGUUCUAGGACGAGAAGACCGUGGCCCACAUGAUAUGCUUUUGGAAGGCCGCAAGACUCAAAUUUGCACAGUGCCCCCAAGGCCUAGACCCGUGCCAUGGAAUUGUUCAGGGUGGCCCUGAAGACAUUUCAGUCUCCCCAGACCCCUGUUCAAGCGCAGACACCCCAGGGGAGGGCUGAUGGCUUCAGCCCUCUCAGCUGAGGCCCAGAGAGAGAGAGGCCUUGGGAGGACACAGGUGGGCUCAAGGGCAGGUGAUGUCCCCAGAGCCUGAAACUUGGCCUCUGGCCCCCAUUCCUGAGCCCAGCAUGCAGAUCCACUUUUUUGGCCUUGAAUUAUCCUGGCUAAAGGCAGACAUUGGAAAAGAUUAUUUAUAAAAAGGUCUUGGAACGAGAAAUGAUUUCUAUUUUGCUAAUGCGAUAUUUUUGAGUGAGAAACAGAAAAGAGGGGAUGAAUGGGUGAGGGCGUGAAUGAAGGGCAAGAAACUCAGAAGCUCUUGUAGAUUCAUACAGUUUGUCUUCAAAUCCACCCACCAUUCCAUCUCCUCUUCCUCUUGUUUCAGAGGGACAGUAACUGAGUCUAGUGACCAAGGAGCUGGGCCAGACCACUUCCCUCCCCAAACCAGG